rnacentral:lncRNA from 1 species
GUCACGUUACAAAAUUAGCUCUUUAAUUAUUAUUAUAAUUAUUUUUCCUCGGUCUCCAUUUAAAUUCUCUAAUUUCUCGUAUAGGACUACUGGGGUGACGUCAUACCUCGGUGAUGGAACGUACUCCACCUAUCGAGAAUGAUUUCGUUUUCUGAGAGAGUUUGACGUUUACCUUGGCGGAGAAGCGCCUCUCGUUCUUUACUUGACUGUUGGCUGUUGUGUCGAAUAGAGGUACCAUAUAGAAUGGCGGAUGAUUUCAUCCAACUUAUUUUAUAACAUCAAGCAAUUUAAAGUAAAGUAAAAAGUUACCACCAAGGAUUGUCUGGAGUGAGGAGACAUGUGGGUGACAACUCCUGUUGGAGUCUAAAUAGGAAUCAUUCGCCAUUUGGGAGAAACCCUACCAUGAAGUCAUAGACCUUAUUUGACCACCUAGAGAAACCACUACAGCCACAGUCAAGUCAUCAUGGGAGUAUGUCUAAUUGGGAGCAAGCUAUGGGAGCGUUCCAGCUCAGUUUUCGUCUUGGCACCUGGGCCUACAGGAGUCAUGGGUCGCACCAUCCUGGUGCAUCAUUUUCUAGGAUGCAACCGCAACCUUUUUAGGAAUCAUUGGGAUUCGUUUGGAAACAAUUAGUGUGUUUUAGUAACUAUUGGUUUUUUUUUACAUUUCAGACUCUCGGUUUAAUGCGCUAUGUUAAUUAAUUUUUUUUCCAGAUUUAGUUUACCUCUGGUUUUUUUUUUAAUAUAUUUGUAUAUUAGAUUAUUUGGUUCCCAAACUUUGUAUCUACGGUAACUUCUUGUGCACAGGAAUAAGCCUAGAGAAAAUUAGGUUUUUAAUACUUUAUUAUUGCUUUGAUAUUGGUUUAUGUAAUUCGGGUAAAUUUAUUUUUUUUAAUAUUACUAGCUUGUUUCCCAAAUAUUUUACUGUUAUUCGCUUUAUUCCAUUUGUUCGGUUAAUUUAGGUCAUCGUCGGUAUUUAUCUCAACUUCAUUUCUACUUUAGUCAAUUGUAUAUUUAACUUUAUCUAUUCAUUAUUGUAUUUUCCCUUAGUGAGGCUUGGGCCUAUUUAUUUGUAGUAUUUUCAUCUUUGUCAGUUUCAUUUAGUUGUACGUAGCAGGCGUACUAUAACCAUUUGGUAGAAGACUUAUGUAAUUUUGUACCCUAUAUGUUAGUGAGAGGUACUUAUACCUGUAAUUUUGUAACAGAUAACAUUAUUGUUGUUAUCUUAGAGAUAACUUUUUGUAUAACUUAUGUCAUUUUAGAGUCACAUGAUAUACACUUUGUGUAACUCAGAGAUUGUCAAAAAUCUAGUAGUUAUUUUUAAUAAAUAUGUAUUUAUUUUGUA